rfam:Brachypodium distachyon strain Bd21 chromosome 3, whole genome shotgun sequence.
UUCUCCAGUGAUUAUGAAACUGAAUACUUUCGUUCUUCUGAUGCGCUAUCUCAUGGCACCAUGGGGAAGCAAUUUGGAGACCUGAACUGAGGAGAA